UACGUAGGAGGCAAGCGUUGUCCGGAGUUACUGGGCGUAAAGCGCGCGCAGGCGGUCAGUCAAGUUUGGGGUGACAGUUCCCGGCUUAACCGGGAAAGUGCUUCAAAAACUGGUUGACUUGAGGGCUUCAGAGGGAUGCGGAACUCCGGGUGGAGUGGUGAAAUGCGUAGAUAUCCGGAAGAACACCAAAGGCGAAGGCAGCAUCCUGGGAAGUACCUGACGCUCAGGUGCGAAAGCUAGGGGAG
rnacentral:rRNA from 1 species